UCCGGAAGGCAAACGAAUGCUCUGGACAGGGCUGAGGGAGGCCACACUUGUAUUUCUUUGGCCUUGGUUCUGAAAAGAUAGCAAAGGAUCAUACCAAUGCUUCCCCUUCUAACUGUGAUGACUUAGCACAAGCACCAGGUACUACACUCAACCUUCUGUGCCCCAAGGACUUGAAGGACAGUUUUCAAACCAGCUUAAGAAGAGCUGGUGCCAGGGCAGUUGGAGAAUUUUGAGGACCUACCGAGGAGAGGGAAGUCUACUCCACCACCCAGCCAAAAUCACCUUACAAAACAGGAAAAACACCCAAAGCCUCCUAUAUUCAAGAAUUAAAAGAAACAGGAAAGACAUCUUUCCUACCUGAGCAAGGGGCCUUCUGGGAAAUAAGGGCAAAAGGGAAGACAAGGAAGACCAACAUUAUAAAAGUACUACAUGGAAGCCCAUUAUACUAUCCUGCAUCCCCAAUUCCUCUUCAACUCCUCUGAACUCACUGCGAUGACUAUUGCGGCUGCCUGCAAAAUUCUUUGCCGAGACCACUCUGAUCUUGUCCAAAUCUGAC